rnacentral:rRNA from 1 species
CCUACGGGGGGCUGCAGUGGGGAAUAUUGGACAAUGGGGGGAACCCUGAUCCAGCCAUGCCGCGUGUGUGAAGAAGGCCCUCGGGUUGUAAAGCACUUUCAGUGAGGAAGAACGCCUGGUGGUUAAUACCCAUCAGGAAAGACAUCACUCACAGAAGAAGCACCGGCUAACUCCGUGCCAGCAGCCGCGGUAAUACGGAGGGUGCGAGCGUUAAUCGGAAUUACUGGGCGUAAAGCGCGCGUAGGUGGCUUGAUAAGCCGGUUGUGAAAGCCCCGGGCUCAACCUGGGAACGGCAUCCGGAACUGUCAAGCUAGAGUGCAGGAGAGGAAGGUAGAAUUCCCGGUGUAGCGGUGAAAUACGUAGAGAUCGGGAGGAAUACCAGUGGCGAAGGCGGCCUUCUGGACUGACACUGACACUGAGGUGCCAAAGCGUGGGUAGCAAACAGGAUUAGAUACCCGUGUAGUC